AACGAACGCUGGCGGCAGGCUUAACACAUGCAAGUCGAGCGCAUCCUUCGGGGUGAGCGGCGGACGGGUGAGUAACGCGUGGGAACGUGCCCUCUUCUACGGUAUAGCCUCGGGAAACUGAGAGUAAUGCCGUAUACGCCCGCAAGGGGAAAGAUUUAUCGGAGGAGGAUCGGCCCGCGUUGGAUUAGGUAGUUGGUGGGGUAACGGCCUACCAAGCCGACGAUCCAUAGCUGGUUUGAGAGGAUGAUCAGCCACACUGGGACUGAGACACGGCCCAGACUCCUACGGGAGGCAGCAGUGGGGAAUCUUGGACAAUGGGGGCAACCCUGAUCCAGCCAUGCCGCGUGAUCGAUGAAGGCCUUAGGGUUGUAAAGAUCUUUCAGCUGGGAAGAUAAUGACGGUACCAGCAGAAGAAGCCCCGGCUAACUCCGUG
rnacentral:rRNA from 1 species